rnacentral:rRNA from 1 species
AUCGAACGCUGGCGGCAUGCUUUACACAUGCAAGUCGAACGGCAGCGCGGGCUUCGGCCUGGCGGCGAGUGGCGAACGGGUGAGUAAUACAUCGGAACGUGCCCAGUAGUGGGGGAUAGCUCGGCGAAAGCCGGAUUAAUACCGCAUACGACCUGAGGGUGAAAGCGGGGGAUCUUCGGACCUCGCGCUAUUGGAGCGGCCGAUGGCAGAUUAGCUAGUUGGUGGGGUAAAGGCCUACCAAGGCGACGAUCUGUAGCUGGUCUGAGAGGACGACCAGCCACACUGGGACUGAGACACGGCCCAGACUCCUACGGGAGGCAGCAGUGGGGAAUUUUGGACAAUGGGCGAAAGCCUGAUCCAGCAAUGCCGCGUGUGUGAUGAAGGCCUUCGGGUUGUAAAGCACUUUUGGCGGGAACGAAAAGGACUGUGCCAAUACCACGGUUCGAUGACGGUACCCGCAGAAUAAGCACCGGCUAACUACGUG